rnacentral:rRNA from 1 species
UGAUGAACGCUAGCUACAGGCUUAACACAUGCAAGUCGAGGGGCAUCAGGAAGAAAGCUUGCUUUCUUUGCUGGCGACCGGCGCACGGGUGAGUAACACGUAUCCAACCUGCCCUUUACUCGGGGAUAGCCUUUCGAAAGAAAGAUUAAUACCCGAUGGCAUAAUGAUUCCGCAUGGUUUCAUUAUUAAAGGAUUCCGGUAAAGGAUGGGGAUGCGUUCCAUUAGGUUGUUGGUGAGGUAACGGCUCACCAAGCCUUCGAUGGAUAGGGGUUCUGAGAGGAAGGUCCCCCACAUUGGAACUGAGACACGGUCCAAACUCCUACGGGAGGCAGCAGUGAGGAAUAUUGGUCAAUGGGCGCUAGCCUGAACCAGCCAAGUAGCGUGAAGGAUGAAGGCUCUAUGGGUCGUAAACUUCUUUUAUAUAAGAAUAAAGUGCAGUAUGUAUACUGUUUUGUAUGUAUUAUAUGAAUAAGGAUCGGCUAACUCCGUGCCAGCAGCCGCGGUAAUACGGAGGAUCCGAGCGUUAUCCGGAUUUAUUGGGUUUAAAGGGAGCGUAGGUGGACUGGUAAGUCAGUUGUGAAAGUUUGCGGCUCAACCGUAAAAUUGCAGUUGAUACUGUCAGUCUUGAGUAUAGUAGAGGUGGGCGGAAUUCGUGGUGUAGCGGUGAAAUGCUUAGAUAUCACGAAGAACUCCGAUUGCGAAGGCAGCUCACUGGACUGCAACUGACACUGAUGCUCGAAAGUGUGGGUAUCAAACAGGAUUAGAUACCCUGGUAGUCCACACAGUAAACGAUGAAUACUCGCUGUUUGCGAUAUACAGUAAGCGGCCAAGCGAAAGCAUUAAGUAUUCCACCUGGGGAGUACGCCGGCAACGGCGAAACUCAAAGGAAUUGACGGGGGCCCGCACAAGCGGAGGAACAUGUGGUUUAAUUCGAUGAUACGCGAGGAACCUUACCCGGGCUUAAAUUGCAGUGGAAUGAUGUGGAAACAUGUCAGUGGGCAAUCACCGCUGUGAAGGUGCUGCAUGGUUGUCGUCAGCUCGUGCCGUGAGGUGUCGGCUUAAGUGCCAUAACGAGCGCAACCCUUAUCUUUAGUUACUAACAGGUUAUGCUGAGGACUCUAGAGAGACUGCCGUCGUAAGAUGUGAGGAAGGUGGGGAUGACGUCAAAUCAGCACGGCCCUUACGUCCGGGGCUACACACGUGUUACAAUGGGGGGUACAGAAGGCAGCUAGCGGGUGACCGUAUGCUAAUCCCAAAAGCCUCUCUCAGUUCGGAUCGAAGUCUGCAACCCGACUUCGUGAAGCUGGAUUCGCUAGUAAUCGCGCAUCAGCCACGGCGCGGUGAAUACGUUCCCGGGCCUUGUACACACCGCCCGUCAAGCCAUGGGAGCCGGGGGUACCUGAAGUACGUAACCGCAAGGAUCGUCCUAGGGUAAAACUG